rnacentral:rRNA from 2 species
GGCGGGGUGCUAUACAUGCAAGUCGAACGAACUCUGGUAUUGAUUGGUGCUUGCAUCAUGAUUUACAUUUGAGUGAGUGGCGAACUGGUGAGUAACACGUGGGAAACCUGCCCAGAAGCGGGGGAUAACACCUGGAAACAGAUGCUAAUACCGCAUAACAACUUGGACCGCAUGGUCCGAGUUUGAAAGAUGGCUUCGGCUAUCACUUUUGGAUGGUCCCGCGGCGUAUUAGCUAGAUGGUGGGGUAACGGCUCACCAUGGCAAUGAUACGUAGCCGACCUGAGAGGGUAAUCGGCCACAUUGGGACUGAGACACGGCCCAAACUCCUACGGGAGGCAGCAGUAGGGAAUCUUCCACAAUGGACGAAAGUCUGAUGGAGCAACGCCGCGUGAGUGAAGAAGGGUUUCGGCUCGUAAAACUCUGUUGUUAAAGAAGAACAUAUCUGAGAGUAACUGUUCAGGUAUUGACGGUAUUUAACCAGAAAGCCACGGCUAACUACGUGCCAGCAGCCGCGGUAAUACGUAGGUGGCAAGCGUUGUCCGGAUUUAUUGGGCGUAAAGCGAGCGCAGGCGGUUUUUUAAGUCUGAUGUGAAAGCCUUCGGCUCAACCGAAGAAGUGCAUCGGAAACUGGGAAACUUGAGUGCAGAAGAGGACAGUGGAACUCCAUGUGUAGCGGUGAAAUGCGUAGAUAUAUGGAAGAACACCAGUGGCGAAGGCGGCUGUCUGGUCUGUAACUGACGCUGAGGCUCGAAAGUAUGGGUAGCAAACAGGAUUAGAUACCCUGGUAGUCCAUACCGUAAACGAUGAAUGCUAAGUGUUGGAGGGUUUCCGCCCUUCAGUGCUGCAGCUAACGCAUUAAGCAUUCCGCCUGGGGAGUACGGCCGCAAGGCUGAAACUCAAAGGAAUUGACGGGGGCCCGCACAAGCGGUGGAGCAUGUGGUUUAAUUCGAAGCUACGCGAAGAACCUUACCAGGUCUUGACAUACUAUGCAAAUCUAAGAGAUUAGACGUUCCCUUCGGGGACAUGGAUACAGGUGGUGCAUGGUUGUCGUCAGCUCGUGUCGUGAGAUGUUGGGUUAAGUCCCGCAACGAGCGCAACCCUUAUUAUCAGUUGCCAGCAUUAAGUUGGGCACUCUGGUGAGACUGCCGGUGACAAACCGGAGGAAGGUGGGGAUGACGUCAAAUCAUCAUGCCCCUUAUGACCUGGGCUACACACGUGCUACAAUGGAUGGUACAACGAGUUGCGAACUCGCGAGAGUAAGCUAAUCUCUUAAAGCCAUUCUCAGUUCGGAUUGUAGGCUGCAACUCGCCUACAUGAAGUCGGAAUCGCUAGUAAUCGCGGAUCAGCAUGCCGCGGUGAAUACGUUCCCGGGCCUUGUACACACCGCCCGUCACACCAUGAGAGUUUGUAACACCCAAAGUCGGUGGGGUAACCUUUUAGGAACCAGCCGCCUAAGGUGGGACAGAUGAUUAGGGUGAAGUCGUAACAAGUAAACCGUAAA